CAUAUCCUGCGCUAGUUCGUACGUUUUCUGUGGUGACACGGUACAGCAGUGAAUGAAAUUUGGAAUCAUAAUCAUGCAGGGAUGGUUUAGUGGGGAAACGUGAGUGAGGAAGUUAGGAUAUUUAUAUUAUUUGAAUUAUUACUUGAUAACAUGUCAACUUUUCUGUGUGUGUGUGUGUGUGUGUGUGUGUUGGUUGAGGAACCGAGACAGGUGGCGCUUCGGAGGGUGAGCGGCUGGCUGAAGUGUUCUGGCAGGCGUUGGUCAGUCUUGCCCCACGCACUCUAGUGAUAAGUGUUUCCGUGUUCCCGGCUGCUUCUCCCUGUACCAAGCACCGCCACGCAACGCCAGAGAGCCAUGAGUACGUAAGAUGCAUAUGCAGAGAGAGGAAAACCAGGAGGACUACUACCGCCAACACCACCACCACUACAGUUAAAUGAAGGGCAAUGAUGGACGUGGCAUUCGGCACAGGCUUCACCAUUCGAACGACUGUGAACGCCGCAUUCUCUCGCUCGGGAAGUACUGGCUGAUUGGUGGCCUUGGCUAUCUACGCAAUCACUCUUGCUGUGGUUGACAUACCAUUCUUUGCUCUCUUCUUCCAGGAACUACUGCCUGAGUACGCACUCCAGCAAUACAUGUUGCUCUGUCUGUGUUGCCUGCCCGUUACAUGGACACAUGCGCAAGUCCCGCGGGAUGCGACUCCAACGGCCGGUCUCGAUCUUUAAGUCAUGAGACAUCAGUCGAAUUCUAGUAAACGCCAUACGUGUAUAGUCAGGGAUAUAUAUGUCAUCUGAAUAAAUAUUAUGGACACCAAGACUAGAAUUCAAUAUUGAUAUAUAUGUGUGAUACUUUGCUGCGUCUUCUGGCUUAUGGGUAAUUAAAUGAAUUAUUCUGUCAAGAGGAUUUAUAUGAUUAUCAUACUGUAUGGCACUCUGGAUAAACUUAUAACCAGGGUUGUUAGCUUCUCUGCAUAAACUAAAUACAACAUGAAAUGGUUAAUUUCUGUCGAGUAAAGUCAGUUUCCUCUCCAAGAAACGUUUCCAUUGGACAUAGACAAUAUGGUAAACUAGCUUAAUUCCCCAUUCAACAUGACAUAAGUUUGAGCUUGUGUUAUUUCUCACGCCCAAGAGACAUCUCAUAAGUUUAUUGUACUGACUGGUGAGUGACACACAGCUGUUUGUCAGCCACAACUAGCAGCUGUAUGUCAGUUCAGCCAACACAGCCGCGUUAAACACACGUUGCAUAUAGCAGUAAGGCAUAUCUAGGUUCGAGGCACAGAAUAUAGAAAAUUUGUUGAUGACUGACUGACACUUUACCCUAUGUAGUGACAUCGUCCUUCAUACAACCGCUGUCGGUAAACCAGGCUCCUAAAUACCUCUAUCUGUCACAGUACUUAACAGCAUGUACCUCGAUCUUUAAUGGUACCUCGAUCUUUAAUGGAACACAAUGAGUGUUAUUUAAAACAAAAAAAAAAAAAUUAAGUUUUGUCCUCGUUAAGAACCAUUCCAUAAUCAUUGCAAUAAUCGAUGACAACUCUGUUUCCUGAUACACAUAUCCCUAUCAUAUGACACCAACACACACUUCACCAACAUUAUAAUUCCUCCUAAUAUUUUGUUUACUUUUUUUCAUAUAUAAAUCAAAACCUGGCACGCUACUAAUUAAUGUUUCCUUAAUUUCAGUGAUCCAUAUUAUGUCAAAUUCUAAAACAAAAUUUAGCACUUCAGGGCUUUAGAGCUUAUUUUUCACACCACAGAUAUUCCAAGCACAUAUUUUCAAUUGCCCAUUCCAAUUCUUUCCAUGCCAAAAUUAGGGAAAUGCCUAUCAAUCACAACACCAUCACGCAGCAAUACUCACUGCCGAUAAUCAUACGUAAUUUCCACUGCCUGGAGUGAAAGUUGAAAAAUAAAUAAUUAGAUGCUUGUUGUCUUUUAUUCUCUUGAGUCUCUCUCUCUCUCUCUCUC